AUCAAUCGGUGCGGACCAAAUUGACGGCGACAAUGGACAUGAUAAGCAUCAAAUGGUGUGUCAGUCUCACACCGGAUGUCUCUACUAGAAUAACCCAACCUUCGUCUUAACAUGGUUAGGGCGGGUUAUACGCAGUGUUUGUAGUGCCAUCCGGUGGUCUUCAAGCCUUCCGAUAUGAUUUUGUUGCUGGCGAAGAAGAUCGAGCGACGGCAAGAUCUGUGUCACGGUAAGAUUCUUUUGCUUCCUUGGAUGCAUUGGAUUGCCUUGUUAUGCUAAAUUUGUUGAUGGAUGCUUGGUUUGCCAUAACUGUUGGGCUGAAGUUUCAUUGAUGCUUUGUAGUUGAUUUGUGCUUACAGGCAAAUGUUUUUGUAGUCAAGGUACUGUCUUUGUUAUCCCCCCAGCCCCCCUGUGAUUCAUUAUGAAUGCCUCUGUUUUAAACCGCUAGUAUGGGUAUGGGAUAUUGUCUGUGAUAGUAGUGAUUGCUGAAGAAUAUGUAAAUUUAAUGACAAUUACAUCGCAAUUGCUA